AUUGAACGCUGGCGGCAGGCCUAACACAUGCAAGUCGAGCGGAUGAAGGGAGCUUGCUCCUGGAUUCAGCGGCGGACGGGUGAGUAAUGCCUAGGAAUCUGCCUGGUAGUGGGGGAUAACGUCCGGAAACGGGCGCUAAUACCGCAUACGUCCUGAGGGAGAAAGUGGGGGAUCUUCGGACCUCACGCCAUCAGAUGAGCCUAGGUCGGAUUAGCUAGUUGGUGGGGUAAAGGCCCACCAAGGCGACGAUCCGUAACUGGUCUGAGAGGAUGAUCAGUCACACUGGAACUGAGACACGGUCCAGACUCCUACGGGAGGCAGCAGUGGGGAAUAUUGGACAAUGGGCGAAAGCCUGAUCCAGCCAUGCCGCGUGUGUGAAGAAGGUCUUCGGAUUGUAAAGCACUUUAAGUUGGGAGGAAGGGCAGUAAGUUAAUACCUUGCUGUUUUGACGUUACCAAAAGAAUAAGCACCGGCUAACUUCGUG
rnacentral:rRNA from 1 species